rnacentral:rRNA from 1 species
CCUACGGGUGGCUGCAGUGGGGAAUAUUGGACAAUGGGCGAAAGCCUGAUCCAGCCAUGCCGCGUGUGUGAAGAAGGCCUUCGGGUUGUAAAGCACUUUCAGUGGGGAAGAAAGCCUUGGGGCUAAUACCCUCGAGGAAGGACAUCACCCACAGAAGAAGCACCGGCUAACUCCGUGCCAGCAGCCGCGGUAAUACGGAGGGUGCGAGCGUUAAUCGGAAUUACUGGGCGUAAAGCGCGCGUAGGCGGUCUGAUAAGCCGGUUGUGAAAGCCCCGGGCUCAACCUGGGAACGGCAUCCGGAACUGUCAGGCUAGAGUGCAGGAGAGGAGGGUAGAAUUCCCGGUGUAGCGGUGAAAUGCGUAGAGAUCGGGAGGAAUACCAGUGGCGAAGGCGGCCUUCUGGACUGACACUGACGCUGAGGUGCGAAAGCGUGGGUAGCAAACAGGAUUAGAUACCCCAGUAGUC